rnacentral:rRNA from 1 species
GGUUUGAUUCUGGCUCAGAUUGAACGCUGGCGGGAUGCUUUACACAUGCAAGUCGAACGGCAGCACGGACUGGUCCGGUGGCGAGUGGCGAACGGGUGAGUAAUGUAUCGGAACGUGCCUAGUAGGGGAUAACUACGCGAAAGCGUAGCUAAUACCGCAUACGCCUUCGGGGGAAAGCGGGGACCUUUCGGGCCUCGCACUAUUAGAGCGCACAUAUCGGAUUAGCUAGUUGGUGGGGUAACGGCUCACCAAGGCGACGAUCCGUAGCCAUUUGAGAGGACGACCAGCCACACUGGGACCGAGACACGGCCCAGACUCCUACGGGAGGCAGCAGUGGGGAAUUUUGGACAAUGGGGGAAACCCCUGAUCCAGCCAUCCUCUGCGUGUGCGAUGAAGGCCUUCGGGUUGUAAAGCACUUUUGGCAGGGAAAGAAACGGCACGGGAUAAUACCUCGUGCAACUGACGGUACCUGCAGAAUAAGCACCGGCUAACCACGCGCCAGCAGCCGCGGUAAUACGAAGCAACAUACAUCGGAAUGCACUGGCAAGCAAGCCGUGCGCAGCGGUUUUUUCCGGAAAGAAGAUGAAACCCAGAUGACUUUGAACUGCGUUUAACUACCGAGCUAGAGUAAGGCUGGAGGGAGAAGAAUCAGCAGCAGUGAAAUGCGGAUACGUGAGAACCGCUGGCGAAGGCGCCUUCCUGGGAUAACACCACUGACGUUCCUAUGCACGAAAGCGUGGGGAGCAAACAGGAUUAGAUACCCUGGUAGUCCACGCCCUAAACGAUGUCAACUAGCUGUUGGGGCCUUCGGGCCUGGUAGCGCAGCUAACGUGAAGUUGACCGCCUGGGGAGUACGGUCGCAAGAUUAAAACUCAAAGGAAUUCGACGGGGACUCGCACAAGCAGACGAUGUGGAUUAAUUCGAUGCAACGCGAAAAACCUUACCUACCCUGACAUGUCUGGAAUCCCGGAAGAGAUUUGGGAGUGCUCGCAAGAGAACCGGAACACAGGUGCUGCAUGGCUGUCGUCAGCUCGUGUCGUGAGAUGUUGGGUUAAGUCCCGCAACGAGCGCAACCCUUGUCAUUAGUUGCUACGAAAGGGCACUCUAAUGAGACUGCCGGUGACAAACCGGAGGAAGGUGGGGGCGACGUCAAGUCCUCAUGGCCCUUAUGGGUAGGGCUUCACACGUCAUACAAUGGUCGGGACAGUGGUCGCCAACCCGCGAGGGGGGAGCUAAUCCCAGAAACCCGAUCGUAGUCCGGAUCGCAGUCUGCAACUCGACUGCGUGAAGUCGGAAUCGCUAGUAAUCGCGAUCAGCAUGUCGCGGUGAAUACGUUCCUUGGUCUUGUACACACCGCCCGUCACACCAUGGGAGUGGGUUUUACCAGAAGUAGUUAGCCUAACCGUAAGGAGGGCGAUUACCACGGUAGGAUUCAUGACUGGGGUGAAGUCGUAACAAGGUAG